UCAUCUUGCUGAGAAACACACCCAGCGUAGAGGUCUUGAACUGCUAGAAGCUUACCCAGUGCUUACUCAGCUCUGUUUCGCUCAUUUGAGUCUUACUGCUAACAAGUAUAAAAUCAGAAUCAUACAAGACUCUGGAGUCACCUGUGUCCAAGCUGCCAGUGUCCCUUAUUCCUCCUGGGCACAAGAUAAGAACCCUGACCUGAAGAUCGUAGCUGAAGAGCCGUGCACUCCAGAGACUGCCUUGCCAGCGAUAGAACCUGCAGAGCUGGGAGAGCUGCUGGAAGAAGAGUGUAAAGGGGAAUACCAGAAGAUCCAGCUACACUAUAUAAUUUGACUCUAAGCUUUUUGAAUACAGAAUAUAUAUUUUCUUUUUCAGUGGGUCCAUCAUUGGACCAAGAGACUAUCUUGAACUUAACUUGUACUUAGCAGAUGUGCUUGUUCACUGAUUCUUCCUGGAAACACACAGAGAUUACUAUGGUACCUGCCAAGAAGGAGCAAAAUAACCUGAGUGGACUUUUCUGGAAGCACAAAAUGGAUAGAGGUACAAUGUGGAUCUAAAUACAUGUACCUGUGGGAUUUAUUUUUCAGAUAACUUUGAGGAUGCAUGUUCUGACUAAAAUUGGCCCUUGCCUUUUAGGAGCUUCUGCAUUGGGAUAUUUAUUGUUUUUACAAUCUUGACAAAGUACAAUAAAGGUAAGAAAUUAUAGACAA